AAGCUCAACAUAUUUACCCAAAGCUUCUUUCUCAACUUGACAUAGCUCAGGGUCAAAAGGAGUUUUAAAAAAUUGCUCUUGAAUUGAAUCCAACUCCUCUUUAGCAGCACAAACCCUCUUAGAAAUGUUAGAAUAACAUUGCAGAUUAAAAUUCCUAAGCACAACUUUUAAUCUCUUGAGCUUAGAAGAAAGAAUAUACAUGGGUCUCCCAGAAAUUGGCUCUCCCCAAGACUGAAUCAGAACAUCCCUAAACCCAGGAUUAUUCAACCAGAAGUUGAAAAACUUAAAAGGCCUUCUCUUGUGAGUGUUAGGCAGGACAGUAACAAGCAUAGAGCAAUGAUCAAAUAUUCCAGGGGCCACAAAGGUAGCCUCACUAUUGGGGAAAGACACCAACCAUUGAUUGUUAGAAAUAAUCCUAUCAAUCCUACUCUUGUUAUAUCCAGAACCACCCCUCUUGUACUCUUCAUUCGAUACAUAGAGGAAACUGGUGUGAGUGGUGUACGUAAGUGACUAAGGUGAGAUAAAAUAUAUUAAGGUGGUUUAGACAUAUUUACCAUAGACCUGCAACGCAGUGGUCAAAGAAGAGUGACAUGAUAGUAGUGAAUGCUAGGACUAGAAGAAGAGAAAGACCUAAAGUGAUUUGGUAUGCCAUGAUACGGAAGGAUUUGAGCUUACUAAAUUUACGUGAACAGAUAGCCCUGAACAGAGCUCAAUUGGAAAAACAUGAUUCAUGUAGCCGACCCCAAUUUAUUGGGACACAAGGCUUGGUUUGGUUUGGUUUUCUUGAUUGUUCUUCGCGCGUUGUAUGUUUGUUAUUUGGCCGAUUACUCAACAGUUUUCUAAUAUUGUGAUGGCAGCGGCAUUGAAUUCGGAAUACGAGGUUUGAUAAUCAUGUGUUUGUGGUUGAAUUAGAGUAGAUUGUAGUCUACGAAUGCAUAAGAUAAAUUAAUUGAAAUCACGAUCACGCAAGAUGACAUAAGCACAAGAUUAUAGAGAUACAUCGAAGUUGCGGCAGUUGCCCUUGGCUACCACCAUCAAGUCUCUGUAGUUUGGGGUUUAGGGCCACAAAUCUGUGAAAUAGUACCAUAAGUACCCUCAGGUGAAAUAGAAAACUUAGUUGGAUCUGCAACAUGCACGGGCAGGUGAACUAUACCUUGCUUGACAUAUCAUAAAACUGUCUGUUCGAACUAAUCAAUUCCCAAAUGUGAAUGCUGAUGACAAUGUAAGUUUAGUGGUGGUAUGGCCAGAAUAUGACUCACUCUGGAAAGUACUAAUAUACUAUAAGAAACAGUAGGCGCUUCAAAAGGGUUAGAUUCUAAGGGCGCUACUGAAAACCUUUUUUUAAGUCAUGUGAUAGGGGGUGUAAACGCAUCAUUGGGGUAGGGCGAAAACGAAGACAGUGUGUGGUUUCUGAUCUCUAUUUCCUUGCUAUCGCAUGGUCCGGUUGAUCAGAGAGUUUUCUUAGCAGAAAAGCUGUAAAAUAAUGUAAAACUAAAAUUUUGAUGAUCUAUGAUUUAUUUGUAGUAAUUUGAGAAAAUUAACUCCUUGCCCUACUCCAUUUUAUGUCCCAUUCUGGUAUGCUAGGGUUGGUUUUCCCUAGCCUUGGGGAAUGCUUGUUAAUAUGUCACUUAAUAUGCUGUCACGAGGGCAUAGUUUUAGCUUCUAGGAUUUAAAAUCUUUCGACUUCUUGAGAAAGGUUCUUAUUGUGUUAGCAGCUAUUGAGAAAUGGGAUUAAAAUAGAAGGUGUUGUUCUUCUCUCUUAGAUGCCGGGUGCUUUGGCCAGUGGUGCACUUCAUCUUUCUUACUAAUUAGCAGCUAUUGGAAAACUUGAUUAUAAUAGGUAUUUUACUCUCUUAGAUGCGGAGUGCAUUGACAUGUGAUGCACUUCAUCCUAGAUUGGCAGCUAAUUUACAACUUUCAGGUUCGCAAUAGCACUUCAUCCUACUCAUAUUUACCCCUCUAGUCACAAAUAGGUUCAUCUUCACCAUUUCACUUUUUGUAGAGUAAAUCCCACAUGCUUAGACAUGACAUGGUUGCUCACUAGAAGUUCAUAACAACUUUGAUUCGGGUCUCUUGGAUUUUUACCUUGAAAGGAUAGGAUGCAGGCCUAAGUGGAGAUCGCUGUUUAGCAAAAGAGUAAUUCUAGGAGGUGUGGAUGUAAGUUUUGAGGGUUGGGAGAUUAUUUCGGGUUUCGUGAUUGGCUUGUUGGAGUAGUAGCUCCUAACAUAUCGUCUUGGCACGUUGGAUUCAUGUUCACUUGUCUGUGUUUGUGCAGUAAGAAGUACAAUAGAUCAAACAAGUCCGGAAGAAAGAAUUUGAGGUUGGUUGUGGGGAUGGAGCUAUGAGACUGUGUCCUUCCUAAGCUAUAUUUGAGCUUGUUUAUUGUCCAAUGAGUUACAUUAGAUGAUUAUGUCUUGGUGUAUAUGUGAAACUGCAGAAGAUUUCUGAAAGGCUCAAGCCCUUUAAGGUUUGCUAGAUGUAGCAGUUGGGUAACCUGAUUAUUUGGGCACUAUUAUGGGACAUGGACUGAUGAUGACAAGAAUGGAAAUUUCCGUUAUCAUAAUAAGUACCUGGAUAUGAUAGGCAAACAUCACAAGUCAUGGUAACUGCUUAGGUAGCUUGGUCAGUCCUAGAGAUGUGGCAGCGGGCUCGAUAAUUGAAGCUUUUUAUAUUGAUAAAAUGGUUAGAGCAAGAGGCAGAACUCAGCUUCUUAGCCACCUAAGUUCUCCUUCAAAA